rnacentral:rRNA from 1 species
GACGAACGCUGGCGGCGUGCCUAAUACAUGCAAGUAGAACGCUGAAGAGAGGAGCUUGCUCUUCUUGGAUGAGUUGCGAACGGGUGAGUAACGCGUAGGUAACCUGCCUUGUAGCGGGGGAUAACUAUUGGAAACGAUAGCUAAUACCGCAUAACAAUGGAUGACACAUGUCAUUUAUUUGAAAGGGGCAAUUGCUCCACUACAAGAUGGACCUGCGUUGUAUUAGCUAGUAGGUGAGGUAACGGCUCACCUAGGCGACGAUACAUAGCCGACCUGAGAGGGUGAUCGGCCACACUGGGACUGAGACACGGCCCAGACUCCUACGGGAGGCAGCAGUAGGGAAUCUUCGGCAAUGGGGGCAACCCUGACCGAGCAACGCCGCGUGAGUGAAGAAGGUUUUCGGAUCGUAAAGCUCUGUUGUAAGUCAAGAACGAGUGUGAGAGUGGAAAGUUCACACUGUGACGGUAGCUUACCAGAAAGGGACGGCUAACUACGUGCCAUCAGCCGCGGUAAUACGUAUGUCCCGAGCGUUGUCCGGAUUUAUUGGGCGUAAAGCGAGCGCACGCGGUUUGAUAAGUCUGAAGUUAAAGGCUGUGGCUCCCCAUAGUUCGCUUUGGAAACUGUCAAACUUGAGUGCAGAAGGGGAGAGUGGAAUUCCAUGUGUAGCGGUGAAAUGCGUAGAUAUAUGGAGGAACACCGGUGGCGAAAGCGGCUCUCUGGUCUGUAACUGACGCUGAGGCUCGAAAGCGUGGGGAGCGAACAGGAUUAGAUACCCUGGUAGUCCACGCCGUAAACGAUGAGUGCUAGGCGUUGGAUCCUUUCCGGGAUUCAGUGCCGCAGCUAACGCAUUAAGCACUCCGCCUGGGGAGUACGACCGCAAGGUUGAAACUCAAAGGAAUUGACGGGGGCCCGCACAAGCGGUGGAGCAUGUGGUUUAAUUUGAAGCAACGCGAAGAACCUUACCAGGUCUUGACAUCCCGAUGCUAUUUCUAGAGAUAGAAAGUUACUUCGGUACAUCGGUGACAGGUGGUGCAUGGUUGUCGUCAGCUCGUGUCGUGAGAUGUUGGGUUAAGUCCCGCAACGAGCGCAACCCCUAUUGUUAGUUGCCAUCAUUCAGUUGGGCACUCUAGCGAGACUGCCGGUAAUAAACCGGAGGAAGGUGGGGAUGACGUCAAAUCAUCAUGCCCCUUAUGACCUGGGCUACACACGUGCUACAAUGGUUGGUACAACGAGUUGCGAGUCGGUGACGGCAAGCUAAUCUCUUAAAGCCAAUCUCAGUUCGGAUUGUAGGCUGCAACUCGCCUACAUGAAGUCGGAAUCGCUAGUAAUCGCGGAUCAGCACGCCGCGGUGAAUACGUUCCCGGGCCU